GAUGAACGCUGGCGGCGUGCCUAAUACAUGCAAGUCGAGCGAACGGACGAGAAGCUUGCUUCUCUGAUGUUAGCGGCGGACGGGUGAGUAACACGUGGAUAACCUACCUAUAAGACUGGGAUAACUUCGGGAAACCGGAGCUAAUACCGGAUAAUAUUUUGAACCGCAUGGUUCAAAAGUGAAAGACGGUCUUGCUGUCACUUAUAGAUGGAUCCGCGCUGCAUUAGCUAGUUGGUAAGGUAACGGCUUACCAAGGCAACGAUGCAUAGCCGACCUGAGAGGGUGAUCGGCCACACUGGGACUGGGACACGGUCCAGACUCCUACGGGAGGCAGCAGUAGGGAAUCUUCCGCAAUGGGCGAAAGCCUGACGGAGCAACGCCGCGUGAGUGAUGAAGGUCUUCGGAUCGUAAAACUCUGUUAUUAGGGAAGAACAUAUGUGUAAGUAACUGUGCACAUCUUGACGGUACCUAAUCAGAAAGCCACGGCUAACUACGUGC
rnacentral:rRNA from 1 species